CAUGGAUCACGGACCCGGAGAAGAAGCUAAUAGCCUUUCUAGCAGAGCCGUGCUAAAGUCUCCCUGCGCUAAAAUCAUUCUCCUGGGAAUCAAUGGGCUCAUUCUUCUGCUGGCCGCCGUUUGGUCCACGGUUCUACACUCCCUGUGAAACAGCAGACAGUCAUGGGGAAACAUAAAACAUAAUACUGGUGUGACCAACUUGUCACUGACUCUUCGGGGGACGUGUGCAGAUAUUGCUGAUGAAAGAAGAAUCAGUGGGAGAUUAAGGGGUGACAGCCUCCGCAUCCAGACCGGAUCUCCCGCGGGGGGGUCAUUCAGAUGCUGCGCGGAGCGAGGCUAAAAUCCUACGGCGCCCCAUUGAAUCCACGUCCAUUUCCGCUUUGACAGCUUCCGCGUUUGAUACUUCCUGUCUGUAAAUGAAAGUGAAAGCGAUUUAAAACUGGAGUCGCCAUUUUGUCAAGAAACACGAAUAAGAUUCUGGAAAAAUAAAAAGAUAUUCUUAUUGCCAGAAGCCCCAGCAGGAAUCAUCUGGUCUGGAUCGGCACUAAAAUGGUAAAGAAGAGA